ensembl:lncRNA
ACAUACACACACACACACAAACACACACUUUAUUAUAUUCACACAGAGCAAAAUCACAGCAAUCAAAAUGGCAUCCUACCUUUGUCUUGAUGAGAAGUGACAAUAUGAAGAUUUAAUCAAGGUUAUAAUAACACACUGUCUGAUUAAAAGGACAGGCCAUCAGCACACUCAUUUCACCUUUUAAUCACUUAGACAAACAAGUGGGACUUUUCUCUCAAAGCUCUGGGGAGGACAGUGAGCGUCCUCAGAGCAGGAGCUCGACUCAUCAGACACAGACCUCAGCACAGUGUUAUCUGGAAGUAAGUGUUAAAGUGGAAGUUUUAUAUGAGGCUAAGCGAACUAUGCUAACAGGCUGAGCACAAACAAGAGCACCAAGAGUCACAUUCUGCGCUAAAAUGCGAUGUUGACCUCUCUCAAAGUUUGCCAUGUAUUGUUCUACGUUUACAUUUUUACAUUGCACACAUUUUAUAACAUUUAAUUUAUC